rnacentral:rRNA from 1 species
CGGACAUCAGGAGGUUAGUGCAAUGGCAUAAGCCAGCUUGACUGCGAGCGUGACGGCGCGAGCAGGUGCGAAAGCAGGUCAUAGUGAUCCGGUGGUUCUGAAUGGAAGGGCCAUCGCUCAACGGAUAAAAGGUACUCCGGGGAUAACAGGCUGAUACCGCCCAAGAGUUCAUAUCGACGGCGGUGUUUGGCACCUCGAUGUCGGCUCAUCACAUCCUGGGGCUGAAGUAGGUCCCAAGGGUAUGGCUGUUCGCCAUUUAAAGUGGUACGCGAGCUGGGUUUAGAACGUCGUGAGACAGUUCGGUCCCUAUCUGCCGUGGGCGCUGGAGAACUGAGGGGGGCUGCUCCUAGUACGAGAGGACCGGAGUGGACGCAUCACUGGUGUUCGGGUUGUCAUGCCAAUGGCACUGCCCGGUAGCUAAAUGCGGAAGAGAUAAGUGCUGAAAGCAUCUAAGCACGAAACUUGCCCCGAGAUGAGUUCUCCCUGACUCCUUGAGAGUCCUGAAGGAACGUUGAAGACGACGACGUUGAUAGGCCGGGUGUGUAAGCGCAGCGAUGCGUUGAGCUAACCGGUACUAAUGAACCGUGAGGCUUAACCUUACAACGCCGAAGGUGUUU